rnacentral:rRNA from 1 species
UGGUGGCGAGUGGCGAACGGGUGAGUAAUAUAUCGGAACGUGCCCUAGAGUGGGGGAUAACGUAGCGAAAGUUACGCUAAUACCGCAUACGAUCUACGGAUGAAAGUGGGGGAUCGCAAGACCUCAUGCUCCUGGAGCGGCCGAUAUCUGAUUAGCUAGUUGGUGGGGUAAUAGCCCACCAAGGCGACGAUCAGUAGCUGGUCUGAGAGGACGACCAGCCACACUGGGACUGAGACACGGCCCAGACUCC